CUGAGCCAAACCUGAAGGCCCUUAGGAAGGUCAGAUGGCUUGAGCCUCUACCAGGAUACCUCAGUCCCACACUGUGUUUCAAGCCACCAUCCCUCAUUUCUCAUUUCCUACGCCCCUUUUUGUGGGAGAACUGCAAAAAAAAAUCACCAUGGUAGUGUUGAGAUUCCAGACUCUUAGUUGGUUGCUUCCUGGUGAAGAGGUGUGGCAGGAAGAGGUCAUGGAGAAGGAAAACUUAGGUCAUAUCCUCUGAGAUGGAUGGAUGACAGUUGGUGCUGGAAAGGCAUGCCUCACUCGGGCUACACUGCAGCACCUCAGAACGAUCUCCCUCAAAGACAAUUCGUCUGCCAGCAUCAGCAGAAAGAUCUUGCAGAGUGAAGAAGCUGUGGUAAUUGUGACCAGCAAGCCUUUGCUGAAUCAUCCUCUUCAGAAAUACCACCCUGAUUCAUCGGCUAUGCUUUUUACGUUAAUUGCAUUUAACGUCUGACAUCUUCGAUACCCUUUCUCCACAUCGCUGAAUCCUAAGAAGAAAACAAGACAAGCCAAACCCAGAUUAUGACUGAAAUAAAAACUGAGCAUUAGUGAAUUAAAGUGAAAACCGAAUGUGUUCAAUAUACCAUGAAAUUCAAAAGGUUUUAUAAUCCAUAAGGUAAAAAAAUAACAGUGCUUUUUCUUAAUGCUGGGUGUUAAUUUUGUCUAUACUUUGUAGAAUAUAAAUAGUAUUAUGCUCCAUAAAAUGAUACUGAUAUGAUUGUUGUAAGGAAUAAAAUUAUCAGGAAGCCAGAGUCUUUUAAAAUUAGCUGUCUUUUUAAUCAUUAUAAAAUUGCAAAAUG